GCUGAACAUAGGAGAAAAGGCCAUGUCCGGUGUAAUCAAAGCAAAUGUUGGAGAGAUUCAAGUGAGGGUAUUCUUGGGCACGAAUUCGAUCAACUUCAGAAGUGUUCCCAAAUGGAGGGUAUGCUUUGAUGAAGUUAGCAUAUGAUUCUUGCAAAGAAGGGAUGGCCUCAUGGUUUGUGAAUUGUGUAUAUGGAUGAAGAGUAUAAGACGUGGCUUCUUCCAAGUCAUGGCUUGAUCCAAACACAACACUGACGCUGGAAUUUUGAGACUUAUUAGAGUCAGAGACAAUAAAGGGAGAACGAAAACAGCCAUUGUAGCAAGGCUGUGAUGUUUCUCCUCCAGCGCAAGACAAGUUGUCCCUUCAGGGAUGGGGAAUUUCAUUACUCUCCAUUAUCCCAAACUUUUCUUCCCUCGACCGUAACUUCAAGCAAUACUUUUAUCCUACGUUGUUGACUAUUGAAUAUGACAUUAUUUCAUUAGAAAUUUACUUAGUAUUCCUUU